rnacentral:misc_RNA from 1 species
AUUGCACCUUGCACCUGAUAGCAAGCAGUAGGCACCAGUACAACCAUGGAGGACAACAACAGGAACAACGCUGCGAACGAUUUUCCACCCCCCUAUGACCAGACGUACCCUCAGAAGCAGCUGGGCGCCAUUCCGCCGGGAGCACCCAUUCCACCAGGGGGCCCUGCGCCACCAGGUGCUUACAUGCAACCGGGUGCUUACGGCCAGCCCGAUCCGCUGCAGGGAUACGGUUACCCUGGCAACUAUGGCACCGGACAGACGGUCUACACGACGACGGGUUAUCCCGCACAGACAAUGCAACCGGCGCCUGGUGUUAUCAUCGUUCAGCAGGACAUACCCCCAACGUACAUGAUAAUGUCCAUCUUCUCCUGCCUAUUCUGCUGCUGGGUAACAGGCCUCGUCGCCAUCUUCUAUUCCUCAAAGGUUACCACCUACGCACUCCUAGGCAACUGGGAGCUAGCACAAGAAACGUCGAAUAACGCAAAAAUGUGGAAAUAUAGUCAGCAUCACUGCCCGGAACGAUCAUAUUCUCCACAACCCUGAUAACGAUUCUUGUCCUGCCUAACCAGGAGACAUGCUCACCAUGAUAGCCUUAUUGACCCCCAGCUGAACCAAUCAAAUCGAGGAAGGGAGAGAAUUCCAAUACGGACUGACAGAAACAAAAGAAGCUAAACUGAAAGCAGAUCCUUCACAGUGGUUAUCAAGAGUACAAAAUAGAGAUCUCUAUUAAUUCUAGAGGUCUAUAUCUAUCGAUUAUAGAGAUCUCUAUUAGAUCUAGAGGUCUAUAUCUAUCGAUUAUAGAGAUCUCUAUUAGAUCUAGAGGUCUGUAUCUUUCGAUUAUAGAGAUCCGUAUUACAGUCUCUCAGUCGUUAUCUAGCUGGCCUCGGUUUGAUUACGGACCACUUGUUGUUUAUUCACUCAGCCGGCAAUAGAGAUCCGGUUGAGAGAUAACGUAGAUAGAGUUGUGUCAGUUCCUUGUACGAGCUGAGCCCUUGCCCCACACUGAGAGAAACGACAAGCACCGAGAGGCAAGCUAAGCUACCGUCGACCAGGAUCUACGACUGUUUCACGUCGUAGGAACGUGAAGUUACCUUCUCGCCACGUAGUGAGAAGCGAGAAGGUAUAGCUUGCAAGCGGCUAAGCUACCGCAUACAAUGACUGAGGGAUGAUGAAGCAGACACAGAUAUUCUAGCAGUAACGCUGAGAGGGUCUAUGUCCCCCAGGGUACUGCCGGAAUGUACCCUAGGUAUGGUCCGGUAUACCGGAAC